GACUAACCCUUCCAGUUCUGGAAAUACAGAUGCACUCAUAAUUUCUGUACCCUUAUAUUUUAUAGCUGAUUAUGUUGCAGUCACCUUUGAGAGAAACAGAACCCUAAGUGAGGAAUGAAAAGUCCUCCAAGUGUGAUAACAUUUCUUGUUGACCAAGAGCAUCAUACUGGAGUUUACCUCUUCUAUAACCGGGGCUAUAAAACUCCUCUGGAGAAGGAAUUUGGGACAAGUUUUAUUUGCAUUCUUUCUUCUGGGAGUAGAUUUGCCACAAAGAAGAAUUUCUGUCAGCCUCAUUUCCCAGAAGUUCCUGCUUUUUGUGAGACACAAGAAGCUCCAAGGUUUCUUCCCUGCAUCUGUUGAACGUCCACAGUCUUCAGCUUAAAUUUAUCUUUAUGUAAGAAUGGCAUUUUUUAAAUUUUGAGACAGGAUCUCACUAUAUUACCCAGGCUGGAGUGCAGUGGGAUGAUCUCAGCUCACUGUAACCUCUGCCUCCCAGGUUCAAGAAAUUCUCCUGCCUCAGCCUCCCAGGUAGCUGGGAUUACAGGUGUGUGCUACCACACUGGCUAAUUUUUGUAUUUUUAGUAGAGACAGGGUUUUGCCAUGUUGCCCAGGCUGGUCUUGAACUCCUGGUCUCAAGUGAUCCACCCACUUCAGCCUCCCAAAGUGCUGAGAUUACAGGUGUAAGCCACCAUGCCUAGCCAAAAGUGGCAUAUUUUGAGGUGUCAUAUCUCUUUUUUUUUUUUUUUUUGCUUUUGAGACAGGGUCUCACUCUGUCACUCAGGUUGGAGUGCAGUGGUGUGAUCAUAGCUCACCACAGACUAACUCCUGGCUCAAGUGAUCCUCUGCCUCAGCCUGAUGUGUAGCUGGGACUACAGGUGCAUGUCAUCAUGCCUGGCUAAUUUUUAAUUUUUUUAUAUACAGUUAGGUCUCACUUUGUUGACCAGGCUGGUCUCAAAUUCCUAGGCUCAAGCAAUCCUCUCGCAUAGGCCUCCCAAAGUGCUGAGAUUACAAGCCACUUUUAUAUAAAGAUAAUUUUAAGCUGAAGACUGCGCCUGGCCUGAUGUAUCAUAUUCUGAUCCCCU
rnacentral:lncRNA from 1 species